UACGUAGGGGCCGAGCGUUGUCCGGAUUUAUUGGGCGUAAAGCGCGCGCAGGCGGCUUGGCGCGCCCGACGUGAAAGCCCCCGGCUUAACCGGGGAGGGUCGUCGGGUACGGUCAGGCUUGAGGGCGGGAGAGGGUGGUGGAAUUCCCGGUGUAGUGGUGAAAUGCGUAGAGAUGUGGAGGAAUACCGAUGGCGAAGGCAGCCUCCUGGGCCAACACUGACGCUCAUGCACGAAAGCGUGGGGAGCAAACAGG
rnacentral:rRNA from 1 species